GGUUGAUCCUGCCAGUAGUCAUAUGCUUGUCCCAAAGAUUAAGCCAUGCAUGUCCAAGUAUAAACCUUUAUACGGUGAAACUGCGAAUGGCUCAUUAUAUCAGUUAUAAUUUAUUUGAUGAUCACUUACUACAUGGAUAACUGUGGUAAUUCUAGAGCUAAUACAUGCAUCAGGCCUAGUCGCAAGAUUAGGUUGUAUUUAUUAGACACAAACCAACGCUGGGUUUCCCAGCAGCCUUGGUGAGUCAUGAUAACUUUGCGGAUCGCAUGGCCUUGAGCCGGCGACGCUUCAUU
rnacentral:rRNA from 1 species